AAAGCAUCUAAGUGCGAAACUCACCUCGAGAUAAGAUUUCCCAUUACGUAAGUAAGUAAGUAAGAUCCCUGAAAGAUGAUCAGGUAGAUAGGAUGGAAGUGGAAGUGCUGCGAGGCAUGGAGCGGACCAUUACUAAUCGAUCGAGGACUUAACCAAG
rnacentral:rRNA from 1 species